rnacentral:rRNA from 1 species
CAGUUCGGCCGCGGCAUUCCGUGUCGAGUCGUUCGCCAUUUCCCCGGUCAAUGAAACACGGACGUCGCGACCUGUUCGUCGUCGGUCGAGGAGUCGCGAUCGAGUUCGUUGUAUUCGGGCGUUUACGCGUCCGGUGCGGCGAAGUCGCGAAUCUCCGGCCGACCGGCGGACAGUAUGCCAACAGUGACCGGGUGCUGCUUCGCGGUACUCGGUGCUGGUCGGCGACGAAUUCUUCGGGUCUCUUUCCGACCCGUCUUGAAACACGGACCAAGGAGUCUAACGUGCGCGCGAGUCGCGGGGUGUCGAGCGUACUUCGGUGCGCUCGUUACAACGCGAAACCCGUAUACGUUGAAGGCGUAAUGAAAGUGAACGGGGAAGAUGACGUCUCGAGUACACGUUCCACGGUCGUUGGUACUGUGGCCGAGCGUCCGCAUUCCCGGGGCAUCUCAUCAGUCCAUCGCGAACGCGGAUAGUCGUCUUUCGGGGCGGCUGUCGGUUUGCGAUGAACCGAGGUGCACCUAUAGCGUGCGCGCUGGUACCCGAAAGAUGGUGAACUAUGCCCGGCCAGGAUGAAGUCAGGGGAAACCCUGAUGGAGGUCCG